rnacentral:rRNA from 1 species
GAUGAACGCUGGCGGCGUGCUUAACACAUGCAAGUCGAACGAUGAAGCCCAGCUUGCUGGGCGGAUUAGUGGCGAACGGGUGAGUAACACGUGAGUAACCUGCCCUUGACUCUGGGAUAAGCCCGGGAAACUGGGUCUAAUACCGGAUAGGAGCGCCUGUCGCAUGACGGGUUCUGGAAAGAUCUUUCGGUCAUGGAUGGACUCGCGGCCUAUCAGCUUGUUGGUGAGGUAACGGCUCACCAAGGCGACGACGGGUAGCCGGCCUGAGAGGGUGACCGGCCACACUGGGACUGAGACACGGCCCAGACCCCUACGGGAGGCAGCAGUGGGGAAUAUUGCACAAUGGGCGAAAGCCUGAUGCAGCGACGCCGCGUGAGGGAUGACGGCCUUCGGGUUGUAAACCUCUUUCAGCAGGGAAGAAGCGAAAGUGACGGUACCUGCAGAAGAAGCACCGGCUAACUACGUG